rnacentral:rRNA from 1 species
GACGAACGCUGGCGGCGGGCUUAACACAUGCAAGUCGAACGGGAUCCGGGCUGUCGGGGCUGGGGAGAGUGGCGAACGGGUGAGUAACACGUGAGUAACCUGCCCACAUCUUUGGGAUAACGUCGGGAAAUCGGCGCUAAUACUGGAUAUUCUUGCUGCAUCGCAUGGUGUGGUUUGGGAAGGGGUUCUGGUGGGGGAUGGGAUCGCGGCCUAUCAGCUUGUUGGUGGGGUGAUGGCCUACCAAGGCAUUGAGGGGUAGCCGGCCUGAGAGGGUGUCCGGCCACACUGGGAUUGAGAUGCGGCACAGCCUCGUAUGGGAGGCAGCGGAGGGGAAGAUUGUACAGUGGGCGCAAGCCAGACGCAGUGACGCCGCGUGGGGGAUGACGGCCAUGGGGUUGUAUUCUGAUUUCGCCUGUGACGAAGCGUGAGUGACGGUAACGGGUAAAGAAGCACCGGCUAACUACGUG